UUUUGUUGGAGAGUUUGAUCCUGGCUCAGGACGAACGCUGGCGGCGUGCUUAACACAUGCAAGUCGAGCGGAAAGGCCCUUCGGGGUACUCGAGCGGCGAACGGGUGAGUAACACGUGAGCAACCUGCCCUAGGCUUUGGGAUAACCCUCGGAAAC
rnacentral:rRNA from 1 species